UACAGAGGGUGCAAGCGUUAAUCGGAAUUACUGGGCGUAAAGCGAGCGUAGGUGGCUUGAUAAGUCAGAUGUGAAAAUCCCCCGGGCUUAACCUGGGAACUGCAUCUGAUACUGUUAGGCUAGAGUAGGUGAGAGGAAGGUAGAAUUCCCAGGUGUAGCGGUGAAAUGCGUAGAGAUCUGGAGGAAUACCGAUGGCGAAGGCAGCCUUCUGGCAUCAUACUGACACUGAGGUUCGAAAGCGUGGGUAGCAAACAGGA
rnacentral:rRNA from 1 species